CAAGCUUUGGCACUCAGUGUCAUCGUCGGCAUCAAUAGUCGUAUAUUGAUGCCUCUAUCACUCAGCAGACCCUCGUUGAGUCAUAGAACCUCUUCUACACGUCGACAAGAAUUAUUCUUGUAUUUGCCAGAUAUUGAUGAGAUAUCUGGCUUUUUUUAUA
rnacentral:ncRNA from 1 species